AUUGAACGCUGGCGGCAGGCCUAACACAUGCAAGUCGAACGAGUGGCGGACGGGUGAGUAAUGUCUGGGAAACUGCCUGAUGGAGGGGGAUAACUACUGGAAAGGGUAGCUAAUACCGCAUACCAUCGGAUGUGCCCAGAUGUGAUUAGCUAGUAGGUGGGGGAAAGGCUCACCUAGGCGACGAUCCCUAGCUGGUCUGAGAGGAUGACCAGCCACACUGGAACUGAGACACGGGCCAGAUGCCGACGGGAGGCAGCAGUGGGGAAUAUUGGACAAUGGGCGAAAGCCUGAUGCAGCGAUGCGGCGUGUAUGAAGAAGGCCUUCGGGUUGUAAAGUACAUUCAUCGGGGAGGCGUUACCCGCAGAAGAAGCACCGGCUAACUCCGUGCCAGCAGCCGCGGUAAUAC
rnacentral:rRNA from 1 species